rnacentral:rRNA from 1 species
GAGUUUGAUCCUGGCUCAGGAUGAACGCUAGCGGCAGGCUUAACACAUGCAAGUCGAGGGGUAUAGUAGCAAUACUAGAGACCGGCGCACGGGUGCGUAACGCGUAUGCAAUCUACCUUUUACAGAGGGAUAGCCCAGAGAAAUUUGGAUUAAUACCUCAUAGUAUAUCGAGUUGGCAUCAACAUGAUAUUAAAGUCACAACGGUAAAAGAUGAGCAUGCGUCCCAUUAGCUAGUUGGUAAGGUAACGGCUUACCAAGGCAACGAUGGGUAGGGGUCCUGAGAGGGAGAUCCCCCACGCUGGUACUGAGACACGGACCAGACUC